CAGCCGCCGCGGUAAUACGUAGGUGGCAAGCGUUGCCCGGAAUUAUUGGGCGUAAAGGGCUCGCAGGCGGUUUCUUAAGUCUGAUGUGAAAGCCCCCGGCUCAACCGGGGAGGGUCAUUGGAAACUGGGAAACUUGAGUGCAGAAGAGGAGAGUGGAAUUCCACGUGUAGCGGUGAAAUGCGUAGAGAUGUGGAGGAACACCAGUGGCGAAGGCGACUCUCUGGUCUGUAACUGACGCUGAGGAGCGAAAGCGUGGGGAGCGAACAGGAUUAGAUACCCGUGUAGUCCCUGUCUCUUAUAA
rnacentral:rRNA from 1 species